rnacentral:lncRNA from 1 species
AUGCGUGAGCCAAUAAAGCAUUAACAAGAAUUUUUUUUUCUCUCUCACCUCUCUUUUAGCUGGAAUAGAACCCACAAACUCACUCACGCACGCACUCUUACUUCCCUUUUGACAAACCACAGAAUCACACCCACAAUCAACAAUCACCCACGCACUCUUACUUUCCGUUUGACAAACCACAUACGACGGACGAGCCCACAGACGACGGACCACCACCAUCACGUGAUCGAGGGAGUAGAACUCACGCGGUGGUGCGUUGGAGCCGCGGUUCUUUCGAGCUAAAAGGUCGGCGUUCCUGUUGGUUUUCGUCGGCGAGGAUGGUAGGGAAACGACGGUCGGCUUCCAAGCUUCAGAUCAAUACCUUGAUCGGUCGGUGGAGUUGCCGGGAUCGUGAAAUCCAACCGGGUCACGUUCGUGGGUCGGGUCGGGUUCACGGUUUUGAGCUAAAUCGACGGCGUUCUUGUUGGUUUUCGGCGGCAAGGAUGGCAGGGAAACGAGGGCCGGCUUCCAAGCUUCAGAUCAAUACCUUGAUCGGUCGGUGGAGUUGCCGGGAUCGUGAAAUCCAACCGGGUCACGUUCGUGGGUCGGGUCGGGUUCACGGUUUUGAGCUAAAUCGACGGCGUUCUUGUUGGUUUUCGGCGGCAAGGAUGGCAGGGAAACGAGGGCCGGCUUCCAAGCUUCAGAUCAAUACCUUGAUCGGUCGGUGGAGUUGCCGGGAUCGUGAAAUCCAACCGGGUCACGUUCGUGGGUCGGGUCGGGUUCACGGUUUUGAGCUAAAUCGACGGCGUUCUUGUUGGUUUUCGGCGGCAAGGAUGGCAGGGAAACGAGGGCCGGCUUCCAAGCUUCAGAUCAAUACCUUGAUCGGUCGGUGGAGUUGCCGGGAUCGUGAAAUCCAACCGGGUCACGUUCGUGGGUCGGGUCGGGUUCACGGUUUUGAGCUAAAUCGACGGCGUUCUUGUUGGUUUUCGGCGGCAAGGAUGGCAGGGAAACGAGGGCCGGCUUCCAAGCUUCAGAUCAAUACCUUGAUUGGCCGGUAGAGUGGCCGAUGGUGAAAUCCAACCGGGUCACGUUCGCGGGUCGGGUUCGUGGGUCAAAUUGGGUCAACCUCCCUCCCUUCUCAUCUCCUCAUCCACUCACAAAGCACCACACCACGGCUCCCCUUAGCCAGGUUGUUGCUGCUGGAAUUUUUUUUGCUGGAAGUGUUACUGGAAUUUUUUUUGCUGAAGGUGUUACUGGUGCUGGAGUUGUUGCUGCUGGAAUUUUUUUUUUUUUGUGUUUGUGUGUUUUUGUUUGUCUUUGUUUCUAUUCCUGUCUCAACUACAAGCUUCUAUAAUAAGUGUUUGGCCUCGACACAAAAUCAAUGUUUGUAAUAGAGAUAAUCAAUAAAAGUCAGUUCAGUUUUCCAAUUUUGUCAGUUUGGCCUGGGC